rnacentral:Y_RNA from 1 species
GGUUGGUCCAAGUGCAGUGGUGUUUACAACUAAUUGAUCACAACCAGUUACAGAUUCCUUUGUUCCUUCUCCACUCCCACUGCAUCAUUUGACCAGCCUUUA